ACCCUUAUAUUAUAUAUAAUAAGGUAUAUGUACUUUUAAAGAAUAAAAUAAAAGUCAUCAGUUCUCAACACACAACAAAACAAAUUGGUCAAUGCAAGCCAUCUUAAUCGCCUCUUCUCCUCUCCUCUGUUUGUUUGUGGGCGGCGAUUCUGAUCUGAUUGAUGUAAGAUCGAACGGAAGUUGAUUGCUUUGGGAAUAGAACGUCUCCGAUUCAAUGAUCGGAAGAUCAAGGAUGUUUUAAGACUCUCGGCAAAGUUAUAACUUCAGAUCGGAUCUGUGGACGAACGGACCUCCUUUGAAAUAGGUGUUAAAGGUGCAUCCGAUGAGGAAUCUCCGUUGAUACUACGGUGAGCUCAAAUAAGGAAAUGGAUGGCAGUUGUAUACCUGACCGUUUCAGAUCGAAAUUUGGAAGAGCGAUGAUUGGGUUUUAAAGGUUUUGAUUUCAUAACCAAAACAGUCGUGCUGCUAUUUAUACCAGAGCUGCAGAGAAUUAAUUAGGUAUCUCGACAUACCGAAUUUAACUAAUUUAAUAAUAACGUUAUUCCACGUGGGUCCGAAUAAAUUCCGUUAUAUAUAUAGUUCUUGAAUUUAAUUGGGACAGUGCAACUGUGUGAGGACGAUAUGGGCAUUGCAGUGCAUCAAUAGCAAAUUCAUCUGUUUCUUCUCCAACUUCCGAUCAGUUGACACAAUGAUGGAG
rnacentral:lncRNA from 1 species